rnacentral:misc_RNA from 1 species
UUUCCGUAGGUGAACCUGCGGAAGGAUCAUUAAAAAUAUCACAUUUUGUAUGUGAUUUAAUAAUCAUCCUACCCUUUGUGAAUUUGUUUUUGUUUUGAAAUUUAUGUUGUCUAUCCCUAGAUUUUGGAAAAAGUGUUUUGUAAAAAAGACUUUUUUCAUUCUAGGGAAUAGGCUUUCAUAGACAUUUUUUUAAAUUAAACUUUUUGUAUUCAGUUGCCUAAAAUUUAUUUUUAAAUAAUUAUAAAAACAACUUUUGACAAUGGAUCUCUUGGUUCUCGCAACGAAGAAGAACGCAGCAAAAUGCGAUAAGUGGUGUGAAUUGCAGAAUACGUGAAUCAUCGAAUCUUCGAACGCAUAUUGCACUUUUUUAGUUUACUAAAAAAGUAUGUCUGUUUGGGUAUCAGUAAAAUAUUCUCAUAAAAAACAUUGUUUUUUAUGGUUAUGAGUGUUUUACAACGAUACAAGUUGUUUCACUUUAAAUUUUUUUAAAAUUUGAAUUUUUCUAAUUUUAAAAUAAAAUUGGAUAAAAUUUUCCCGUAAAAAGGAAUAACCUAAACAAUUUUAAAUUUUUGAUUAGAAUUCUUCACAUUCUAAAGGAAAAUUUAACUAAAUAACUUGAUCUCAAAUCAGAUAAGAGUACCCGCUGAACUUAAGCAUAUCAAUAAGCGGAGGAAAAGAAACUAACUAGGAUUCCCUCAGUAACGGCGAGUGGAGCGGGAAGAGCUCAAAUUUGAAAUCUUCAAGGUUCUACCUUGACGAAUUGUAGUUUAAAGAAGUGUUUUCUGUUGGAGUUUUGGUAAAAGUUCUUUGGAAAAGGACAUCAUAGAGGGUGAGAUUCCCGUAUUUGACCAUUAUCUCCAGCUUUGUGAUACACUUUCAAAGAGUCGGAUUGUUUGGGAAUGCAGUCCAAAAUGGGUGGUAAAUUUCAUCUAAGGCUAAAUACUGGCGAGAGACCGAUAGCGAACAAGUACCGUGAGGGAAAGAUGAAAAGAACUUUGAAAAGAGAGUUAAACAGUACGUGAAAUUGUCAAAGGGAAGCGUUUGACACCAGUGCUGUUUUCUCGAAAAUCAAUUAAAAAAGGCCGGAUUUUGUGUUGUAUUGACUUUAUCAGCUUUCUGCACUUUUUCUUGUCUUUUUUAAUGCACUUUUCGUUUAACAAGUCAACAUCAAUUUCUUUUGUUGUAAAAGGGUCAUUGGAAGGUGGCUUUCUUUCGGAGAAAGUGUUUAUAGCCUUUGACUCUGCAAUCGGAGAGAUUGAGGUCUGCAGCGUAGAUCCUUCUGGAUAGAUUCAUUUGUGCUAAGUUAUAGCUUUUAUAGACAACUUGUUGACUAUGAUCAGUCAUGUAGCUUACUCGCUUAUGCUAUUUUACCUACGCUUAGGAUGUUG